UGAUAUGAACCACAACCAAGAAAUUUCCAUACCUCAAGGUCCAAUUACAAGGACGAGAGCCAAAAAGCUACAACAAACUUUGUCCACUUAUAUUCAAACUAUGGUCAGCUCAUCAAAGAAAAUUCUAGAAGA